UGUCAUACCUAAAGGUGAGCUUCUCAUGGUGCGGCCUGUUUGCCUGUAAACGUUGAUUGGCCUGACAUGUUAGCCAACAAGUGCUGAAACUCAGAUUAUGUCGAGACAGAGCAACAUGAACAUGAAUUUCGAGUCAUGUAUCCUACGACCAGCUGGAUUGUGAAAGGUGUUAGGUCCGGUGGGGCGUUGAAGGGCCAGAAGAAGCCUCUGAGGGCCAUUCAACAGAAACCAUGCAGAGGGCAGCGAUACACAUCUGCUACAAGGCCACAUGCAGGGUAAUUUCUAAGCCUAUUCUCGCUCCAUGUGGAGAUGGAGUGUGUCUGUGGCCAGGCCGGGUGUUGAGAGGCACCAGUGAGCGAGGAGGAAAUGGGGUCUGGCAUGUUGACUCAGGAGUAAAUCUCCCCGGACCUCUCAGAAGGCUGCCAUUAGAGUUUAAUCACCCUGUAAUCCUGGACACACUCUGCAGCUGAGAGGGAGGACUGAUGAGCAUGCAGCGUGCAAACUGUGAGCAUCUACUCAUCCAGAAGCUGCAAUCAACGCUGUGGAUGGAUGAGUGCAAUCCAACGAUGAGGACACACAAAAAGUCUGAAGAAAGUAAUCAUACCCGCUUCUUUACACGUUCCAUGCUUCCUAUUUUAUUAAAAACUUUCUCUGCUUUGUGAAGCCCUUAUUAUACUUGUUAAUGAUACUUGAGUGUGUUGUUCUUCUCCCUUGUUCUACCUUAUUACCCCUAAUUUUCUCAAGGCCUUCAAAAAGUGUUUCCAAUGCCUCAACAAGCCUGGCUCUUACUUUUCAUUAUUCACAGCUUAUUUUUAGACAAAGGCGUCAUUCUGUUGUCUGUGAGAGCAAAAAGGCAGAGCAGCAGUGAAUUGUUUCAGGGACAUUUGCAUAAUACUGAGUGACUGAGUCCCUAUUUUAAGCUGAAUUCUUUCCAGACAUCGCUGUUGAAGCUACCAGAGGGAAGAAAGAAGAGCAAGUGUAGAGAGAAAGGGACUAUCAAAGGAGAGGAACUAAGCUUUCAUGUUAGGACACUUUGAUUGUGUUACAGAUUGGUUCCAGGUGAGGCAACUUUAAAAAGAAAAGGAAAUCCAAGGGAAGAGAGAAAAUCGUAACUAAGGAUGGCAUUGGCAGGAUUGAGGCAUUAUGGGGAGAUUUAGAACAGCAGGUGGAGAGAAUCAAUGAGGCUCAAAUAUUCUGUUUUGUGGUGGGUGGUAACUGGGGGGUUGUUGGGGCUUUAACAGCUUGGGAGAGUGUCUUUAUUCAAUCAUGGACAAAGUUUUCUGAGGUAAAAUAAACAAUGAAGGGAGGCAGGUACGUUUGCUCAGCACUACUUUAAGGCACUGUGAGGAGUUUGAACUAACUUUGAAAUAGUGUCACUCUCAUAUUGAUGCCUCAUCAUUACCUACAUAGUAAAAUCAGAUUAUCAGUGACAAGAUAUUUGUUUUUAUUUACUCAAUUUUAAUGCCAGGCUGGAUUUUUUGCUAAAAAGGUCGAGUCAAUGUUCAGUACUCACCUGGAAGUGUCUAGAACUCAACUGGUAAAGUUUGGCCGUGAGAAGUAAGCUAGCAAGCAGGAGGAGUUUUCUUUAAGUUUUAAAGAAGAUAUAUAUAUAUAUAUAAAUAUAUAUAUAUAUAUAUAUUUCCAUAUCUUUUUAUUAGAUUUUUGCAGACAGUACAAAAAGAUGUCACACAAGAGUAAGAUAAGUCAGAGUAUCUGCAUAGAAUAGAACAAAAAUCCCCAAUUAAACAGAAAAACAAGACAAUAGAAAAUAAAUUCCCGUUACCCUGCUAACCCUCACCCUCCCAGCUUCCUAAGGUAGUUGUUAAGAAGAAAUUUGAAAAGAAUUGUAUUCCUUUAGAGUUCUUUUAGGGGAAUUUUAUGUCUUUUAAAAUAUGUUUCAUUGCUUUGUCUU